rnacentral:lncRNA from 1 species
CUUGGCUAGGCUGUGGUGUGCAGUUGUUUUGUCAACCCUAGCUUACAUGUUGUUGUAUAUUCCAGUUGUAGGUUCUUCUGGUUGUGCUAUAUGGGAUGCUGCCUCAACGUGGCUUGAUGAGCAGAGCCAUGUCUGUGCCCAGGAUCCGAACCAGUGAAACCCUGGGCCGCCAAAGCAGAGUGUGCCAACUUAAUCGCUCGGCCACAGGGCUGUCCCCUCUCAGAGGAUUCUUAUCUCCAAGGCUUAAGAAAUCAAAGGAACCCUUGCCUUGGGGAGAGCUUCUUAUUCAUCAAGACCAAAUAGGUAACCCAGAGAUGAAGAACGCAAGUAACCAUUGCAGUUAACUCUUUUUCUAAAAAAAAUAUUUUUAUUGUAAAAUUAAACACAGAUACAGAAAAACAAACUACUGUGAAGCUUAGUGAAUUAUUAUGCAGUGAAUACCCUUAUAACUACCACCCAAAUCGAGAAAGAAUUCCCAGGCACCCCCGUCACCCCUCCAUGUGCCUCAUCCCAACACAAUCUCUCCCUACCUCCAAAAGUAACCACUAUCCUGACUUUUGUAGUAAUUACUUCCUUGCAUUUAUUUAUGGUUUUAUCACUUAAGUGUGCAUCUCUAAAACCUAUAGUUUAGUCUUGUCCAUAUGUUUUUUAACUUGAUAGGCUUUUUAGGUCUCUUUUAAUCUGUGGUUUCCCCCUCUACCUCUUUCUUUUCCUUACAAUUUAUCUGUUGACAAAUCUGGGCCAUUUGACUUGUCAGGUUUCCUACAGUGAGAUUUGCUGACUGCUCACUCAUGGUGCAGUUCAGCGUGUUCCUCUGUCUUCUGUAUUUCCUGCCAUUUGGGAGCUGGAUCAAGAGGAUUGAUUUAAUACAGGUUUAAUCCCUUUAAUAAGAUUAUUGGUGAUGUUAUAUCUUGUGUCUGGUUUACACUGUUUUUGAUAUUAGUCGAAGCAGAUGCUCAAGGUCUACCUCAUUAAUUCAUUGGGAGUUGAAAAUAGUAAUAUUUUAAUUUCAUAUAUUUAUUUAU